GGACUACCCGGGUAUCUAAUCCCGUUUGCUCCCCUGGCUUUCGCGUCUCAGCGUCAGAAAACGUCCAGGACCUCGCUUUCGCCACGGGCGUUCCUUCCGAUCUCAACGCAUUUCACCGCUCCACCGGAAGUUCCAGGUCCCCCUACGUUCCUCCAGAAAGGCCGUAUCGGCGCCCGUUCCCCGGUUGAGCCGGGGGAUUUCAACGACCGACGUACCCUUCCGCCUACACGCGCUUUAAGCCCAGUGAUUCCGAAUAACGUUCGCACGGUUCGUCUUACCGCGGCUGCUGCAC
rnacentral:rRNA from 1 species